rnacentral:lncRNA from 1 species
GUUGAUUAGUACUGUAUAUUUAUUUAUAUAUUUUUAGAAGAGCUGUUUGGAGAACUUUGUCAGAUUACAAUUAUUAUAUUCUAAAAGUUUAAGUUAUUAGAGAACGGUGUUUAUAUAUUUUUAUACUUAACAUUCCCCCUCACAUCUGACCUCGAGACUUUUUGUUUACGAGGCUCAUGAUGUGGAUUUGAAUUAAAUGAGAGGAAAUUAAUAAUACUAGGAGCCUGAUAUGACUGGAACUCAGAAUCUUCUGUUCUGAUAAACUUAAGCUAUUAGAGAACAGUAUUUAUAUAUUUUUAAUACUUAACUGAGGUAAAAU